CGCAUCUUGCGCUCCUUGGUAUUCCGAGGAGCAUGCCUGUUUGAGUGUCGUGUAAUACUCAAUUUCAAUUCUUUUUGUUUUGAAAUUGGAUGUUGGGUGUUGUUGUGUCACAGCUCAUCCUAAAUGCAUUAGCGAUCUGUCCUUUUGAUCACACAAUGUGAUAAGAAAAAAGCAUUGUUAAGAUCGGAGCGAGAUUGCUGCCAACCGUCGAAAGACAAACAAUUGUGUCCAUUUGACCUCAGAUCAGGCAGGACUACCCGCUGAACUUAA
rnacentral:misc_RNA from 1 species